CCCCGGACACCCAGGACCACGGGACCUGCCCUGAGUCCCGGUCAGACCCGGGUCAAGCCAGAAUUUUGGUUUUCAUUUUAGGUGAACUUUGGCUUUAUUUCAACUUGAAACAACCCACACUAAGGAGUACCUGAUAAAGCGAAGCAGAAAUUGAAUUUUUUGAAAUUGCCUCACCUGUGUAGGAUAGUCACCGUGUCAUGGCACAGCCUGAGAACCACCCCAGUGGAGGUAAAAGCACAGAGAUUUAGAGGGUUCCUAGUGUGAAGAAUAAUGAAUAAGUACACUGCAAGAUCUCUAAUAUUUGGUGUUGGAACAGACAAACCCUUUCUAAAGUCUAUUGGAUUGAGUGUAAGUUUGCAGAACUAUUUUCCAAGUAAAAGUCCAGAUAACGAUUACGUCAAACUGAUCUCCUAAAAGCACGUAAUUGUGUUGGGAAAGGUAUAAAAGCAGAAGGCAGAGUGUGUUUUGUAUGUAAGCAGUAAAGGCAUAUUGUUCUGACAGGGAUGAAGACAGGAGGGGGAGAUAGCAGGGAGGAGACACAGGCCUUCAGUUUAUUGCUAAAGCCAGUGAAGGGAAGCUCCACCUAUAAGCUUCCAGUAGCUCCUUGCCACCGUCAAGUUUCUUUCUACAUUUCUUGAUAAUCUACACUUUGUACACUGGGCCUUCAUGCUUUCUAAAAGGUGAUUCUUGGGGCCAGGCGGUAGUGCAAUGGUUAAGCGCAUAUGGCGCAAAGCACAAGGACCGGGGUAAGGAUCCCAGCUCCAUACCUGCAAGGGAGUGGUUUCAUGGUUGGUGAAGCAGGUCUGCAGGUGUCUAUCUUUCUCUCCCCUUCUCUGUCUUCCCUCCUCUCUCCAUUUCUCUCUGUCCUAUCCAACAACAGCAGCAAUGACA